GUGUGUGUGUGUGUGUGUGUGUGUGUUUUGGCUGGUAAAAUCUAUGACAUCCGAAACCUUUAUUUUAGACAUUGGGUUUCUGGUGGCAAAAUCUGUAAUGUAAUAAGAAUGUACAUAACUACUGACAGAGAUAACUAUAGCAUUAAUUAUAAUUAUUAAUUAUAGUGACAGGUGUAAGUUGUGAGAAGGGUAACCAUAGAGAUAGAGGUAACUAUAGCCAUAGAGGUAACCAUAGCGAUAGAGGCAACCAUAGCGAUAGCGGUAACCAUAGGGAUAGAGGUAACCAUAGCGAUAGAGGUUACUAUAGCGAUAGCGGUAACUAUAGCGAAGGAGGUUACUAUAGCGAUAGCGGUAACUAUAGCGAAAGAAGUUGCUAUAGCAAUAGAGGUUACUAAAGUGAUAGCAGUAACUAUAGCGAUGGAGGUUACUAUAGCGAUAGAGGUUACUAUAGUGAUAGAGGUUACUAUAGCGAUAGAGGUUACUAUAGCGAUGGAGGUUACUAUAUUGAUGGAGGUUACUAUAGCGAUAGAGGUAACUAUAGCGAUAGAGGUCACUAUAGCGAUGGAGGUUACUUAGUGAUAGAGGUUACUAUAGUGAUAGAGAUAGCGACAGAGGUAACUAUUGCAAUAAAGAGAGUACAGUCAUAUAUACAGUCACAUAUAUCCAGUCACAGAAAUUAUUCGCCCGAAAAUAGCACAAAAAAAAAGAAGCAUUUUCGGUGUUCGGCCGAAUAAGUGAAAAUGCAGAAUAAAUUUGACCGAACAAUGAUGUGUUUGAUGACGCGCCAAAUAGCCUAGCAACCAGAGUGAGACGCGCGAAUUUCACGACCUCCACUUCCGGCAGCGCGCUUGGAGCGAUGAGGGAGUGCGCACAUGCACGAGCUACGUGCACGAGCACAUGCUCUUCAGAUGUUGACAACCAUGACAUUGUUUACUGUGGACACGUGCGUUUAAUUGUUUCUGUUCCGGAGUAUUCUGUCACGUCGCGAAAUGUAAGGGAGUAAAGAACGGAAGCAGGUAAAGACGUAUUUAUUUAAGGGAACAUAACAUUAACAACGUAUCUAACUAUACUAUAUCUACUAUAAUACUCCGCAAGCUGUACAGGGACGCGAGCGGUAUAUAUCCCCAAUAUAAUCAGCCCUAUAGAACCCAAUAGAACCAUUUUUUGCACGUUAUAAUGCACUUUUUAGUUGUAGGCUACAGAGUGUUGCAUUCUUUCAGCAGUCAGUUAUAGGCCUAACAUCGGCUAUUCAAGGGGGGCUCAAAGAUGACCACAUCAAAAUAUUUUUAUUUUACUCAUUUAUUUAUAUAAAGUUAUAUUGUGCCUCGUUGGUAGCCGAUGCCUGCUGGAAUGAAUGAAAAAAAAAUGUUCAGUGUUAAAUAAAUAUUUUGAAACUGUAGUUUUUGUAAUUGAUUUUUUUCUUUGAAAAGCAAGACAAAAUAGUAAAAAGCACAUUUUGACUAUUUAAUUUAUGCAGUGGUGAAAAAAAUGGAAAAAUAAAUGGAAAAAACGC
ensembl:lncRNA